UGGGGAAUUUUGGACAAUGGGGGAAACCCUGAUCCAGCCAUCCAGCGUGUGCGAUGAAGGCCUUCGGGUUGGAAAGCAAUUUUGGCAGGAAAGAAACGUCAUGGGUUAAUACCCCGUGAAACUGACGGUACCUGCAGAAUAAGCACCGGCUAACUACGUGCCAGCAGCCACGGUAAUACGUAGGGUGCAAGCGUUAAUCGGAAUUACUGGGCGUAAAGCGUGCGCAGGCGGUUCGGAAAGAAAGAUGUUACAUCCCAGAUCUCAACUUUGGAACUGCAUUUUUAACUACCGGUCUAGGGUGUGUCAUAAGGAGGUGGAAUUCCGCUUGUAGCAGUGAAAUGCGUAGAUAUGCAGAGGAACACCGAUGGCGAAGGCAGCCUCCUGAGAUAACACUGACGCUCAUGCGCGAAAGCGUGGGUAGCAAACAGG
rnacentral:rRNA from 1 species